AGGCGUCUUGGGCAUCCAAAAUGCUAGGUUUGAUGGAGAGAAUAUGAGCAGUGAGGUCUGAGAGAGUGUUCUCAAGGAGAACCAUUUUCCAUUCCCUGGUUUCUCGUGAUAAGAGGUCAGACACUAGAAGGUCUUGGUCUUGGAGCUUGACAGGACCAAACGGCUUAAUAUCCAACCGGGGAUUAAUCCAGGAGUCGUUCCAGACCUUCGUUGAUUCUCCAUUGCCAAUCACUUUACCAAGAUGAGUAAUGAGAAGGUCCCUACCCCAGAGGAUACCCUUCCAGCCUUCAACAGGGAGGAUUUAUGGCAAUAUUUCCCCAAUAGAACCCGAGAAAGGAGACAGCCUGGAUUGGUGAUCGAUCUCCACGCAAUUUUGGCCAGCAGAGCUUGGUUAAAUAACUGCACAUCACGGAAUCCCAAGCCCCCGAGUCUCUUUGGCAAUCAAAGGUUGGAGUGGCUGAUAGUAUAGAUUGGAGCAUUGUGGCUUUACCCGCCGUUGAGAGAAACCGUGAGUUCCAGCUGAUGGCCUUCUGCUUCAUCUUAUCAACAAUAGAUACAAAUAAGUCUUUCUUCUUUCUGCCAAAAUGUUAUGGGAGUCCAAGGUGACGUUUUGGUAGAGAAAGAGAUAGAGGAUUUAUGAGUGUUGAUCAUCUGUCCUGAAGCCUCCUCGUAGUCCCAAAGCCUCCUCGUAUCCUGUUGACAUCUGUCAGGAACCAUAACAGUAGCCGUCAGUGCUGCUUCUUGUCGUUUAACUUUAUAUUCAUAACUAUUCGUUUAAAGAGAAGUGCAUGUGGCAUUUACUAUGGACAUGUAGAUGGCUAACACAAUUAUAACUUGCUAGCCAUUAUGUUAGGCAUCUAAUAUGGUUAUUUAUAUAUUACAUAUUAUGACAAAAUAAAGUGAUCCAGACAACAACGACAAACUUUUUUCUA